UUAACAAAAACAUGUCUUUUUGAUUUUUAUUUAAAGUCUAAUCUGCCCAAUGAGGACAUUUUAAAUGGCCGCGAUAUUUUGAUCGUGCGAAGGUAGCAUAAUCAUUAGCUUUUUAAUUAAAAGCUGGAAUGAAGGAUUGAACGAGAGACUAGCUGUCUCAAUUUUAUUUUUUGAAUUUUAUUUUUGAGUUAAAAAGCUCAAAUUUUAUUAUAAGACGAGAAGACCCUAUAGAGUUUUAUAUUUUUUUUAUUAUUUAUGUUUUGGUUUUAUUAAACAAUUUAAUUGAUAAAAGUAUUUAGUUGGGGUGACUGAAAAAUUUUUUAACUUUUUCUUUUUAAAAUAUUAAUUUAUAGAUUUUUGACUUAUUAAAUUUUAGUUAUAAGAUUAAAUUACCUUAGGGAUAACAGCGUAAUUAUUUUUUAGAGUUCUUAUUGAAAAAAUAGAUUGCGACCUCGAUGUUGGAUUAAAGUUAAAAUUUGGUGUAGAAGCUAAAAUUUUUAGUCUGUUCGACUAUUAAAACUUUACAUGAUCUGAGUU
rnacentral:rRNA from 1 species